UGAGGAAUAUUGGUCAAUGGACGAGAGUCUGAACCAGCCAAAUCGCGUGAAGGAAGACUGCCCUACGGGUUGUAAACUUCUUUUGUACAGGAAUAAAAGACAUUACGUGUAAUGUAUUGCAUGUACUGUAAGAAUAGGCAUCGGCUAAAUCCGUGCCAGCAGCCGCGGUAAUACGGAGGAUGCGAGCGUUAUCCGGAUUUAUUGGGUAUAAAGGGUGCGCAGGCGGGAUUUUAAGUCAGCGGUGAAAUUUUCAGGCUCAACCUGAACACUGCCGUUGAAACUGGGAUUCUUGAGUAUGGAUGAAGUAGGCGGAAUUCGUUGUGUAGCUGUGACAUGCUUAGAUAUAUCGAGGAACUCCGAUUACGGAGGCAGCUUACUAAGCCACAACUGACGGUCAUGCACGAAGGCGUGGGGAUCAAACA
rnacentral:rRNA from 1 species